GGCAACGUGCCCGAGUGGUUAAGGGGAUGGCCUGCUAAGUCAUUAGGUCUCGGCCUGCGUAGGUUCGAAUCCUGCCGUUGUCGC
rnacentral:tRNA from 1 species